GGAAAGGCGAAAAGAACCCCGGCGAGGGGAGUGAAAAAGAACCUGAAACCGUGUACGUACAAGCAGUGGGAGCACGCUUAGGCGUGUGACUGCGUACCUUUUGUAUAAUGGGUCAGCGACUUAUAUUCUGUAGCAAGGUUAACCGAAUAGGGGAGCCGAAGGGAAACCGAGUCUUAACUGGGCGUUAAGUUGCAGGGUAUAGACCCGAAACCCGGUGAUCUAGCCAUGGGCAGGUUGAAGGUUGGGUAACACUAACUGGAGGACCGAACCGACUAAUGUUGAAAAAUUAGCGGAUGACUUGUGGCUGGGGGUGAAAGGCCAAUCAAACCGGGAGAUAGCUGGUUCUCCCCGAAAGCUAUUUAGGUAGCGCCUCGUGAAUUCAUCUCCGGGGGUAGAGCACUGUUUCGGCAAGGGGGUCAUCCCGACUUACCAACCCGAUGCAAACUGCGAAUACCGGAGAAUGUUAUCACGGGAGACACACGGCGGGUGCUAACGUCCGUCGUGAAGAGGGAAACAACCCAGACCGCCAGCUAAGGUCCCAAAGUCAUGGUUAAGUGGGAAACGAUGUGGGAAGGCCCAGACAGCCAGGAUGUUGGCUUAGAAGCAGCCAUCAUUUAAAGAAAGCGUAAUAGCUCACUGGUCGAGUCGGCCUGCGCGGAAGAUGUAACGGGGCUAAACCAUGCACCGAAGCUGCGGCAGCGACGCUGAUGCGUUGUUG
rnacentral:rRNA from 1 species